rnacentral:rRNA from 1 species
UACGUAGGUGGCAAGCGUUAUCCGGAUUUAUUGGGCGUAAAGCGAACGCAGGCGGUCUUUUAAGUCUGAUGUGAAAGCCUUCGGCUUAACCGGUGUAGUGCAUUGGAAACUGGGAGACUUGAGUGCAGAAGAGGAGAGUGGAACUCCAUGUGUAGCGGUGAAAUGCGUAGAUAUAUGGAAGAACACCAGUGGCGAAAGCGGCUCUCUGGUCUGUAACUGACGCUGAGGUUCGAAAGCGUGGGUAGCAAACAGG